rnacentral:lncRNA from 1 species
CUUUGGGUAGGACAGAGAAUUGUAAGGUAGUCAAAACUGUGAAUUGUAUUUACUGAAUCACCUGAUAAAUGGGACUGAAAACAGGAGCAUGAAGUAAUAGGGCUUGUAUUUCUACUUACCCUUCUUCCAAGCACCUCAAAAUCAAUACAGUUCACACAGAUCUUAAAGUCUCAAAGUCCUUUGUCUUCUGGGUAAAUUUGCCUCCACCAACCAACCCAAUUCAAUAAGGGUUUUGUUUCCUAACAGGUAGGUUUCCUCCUCCAGGCUAUUUUGGGAAACAAUUAAAAGAGUUUGUAAAGUUCUUCCAGAGCUCGGAUGCGCAAUUAAUUGGAGGGUGAAGAAGUGGAAGAAGGCUGAGGGAAGAGGCCAGGGACAGAAGCCCCCAGAAUUCUUGACAACACACAGUUGAAGGACUUUGAUCUCCAGGCUGUUUUGUGAAUCCUUCAGGUACCUGGCUAAGUCCCCAUGACAGGUCAAAUUCUAGGAGUGGUAUUGAUGUAAGUUUUAGGGGGAGGGACUGGUAGUGGGCUUAAGAGUGUCCCGGAACAGCCUCAGUAUAAAGUAACAAACCAUUUUUCUGGCAAAGAUAGACCAAAGUGGGGAAAGGCAACUCAGUUUUAUUUCAACUUAUUUUAGGAGAUCUAUGUUUGAGGCCUGAACUAGUUGUAGAAUUACCGAGUUAACCUUAGGUAGUUGACCUUUAUGGGUCUCAUUUUGUCUCUUUUUUAAAAAUUUAAAAAAGAAAAAUUUUAGGGGCGCCUGCGUGUCUCAGUUGGUUGGGU